UUGGAGGGCAAGUCUGGUGCCAGCAGCCGCGGUAAUUCCAGCUCCAAUAGCGUAUAUUAAAGUUGUUGCAGUUAAAAAGCUCGUAGUUGAAUUUCGGGGUUAGUAGGUUGGUCAUGCCUCUGGUAUGUACUGGUCUCACUGAUUCCUCCUUCCUGAUGAACCGUAAUGCCAUUAAUUUGGUGUUGCGGGGAAUUUGGACUGUUACUUUGAAAAAAUUAGAGUGUUUAAAGCAAGCUAACGCUUGAAUACAUUAGCAUGGAAUAAUGAAAUAGG
rnacentral:rRNA from 1 species